CCCAAAAAGACUGUUAUCCAUCUUUUCCCAGACUUCUGUUAGGCGUUCUGGGCUGGCACAGAGGGGAGCAAUGCACCGAUUUCUGCAUGGACCCUGCAGGAAUUGCAGUCUGGGAUGAGGUUUACAGGAACACAAGUUAAAUCAGACUUACGUGGAGUUUUCACCAGAUUUCAAGGUUAUUGGAGAACACCUGCCACUGGCAAGAGUGUCCCUGAAUGCCAUCCCAGAGACCCACUGAACUUCCUGCUCUCAUUGUGCUCUUCCCAAGCUGAAGAAUCUGAGGUAAGCUGCCUCUGGCAGCAUCUCUACCUUUCUCCAGGAUGCUCCUCAGCCAUGAUGUGUGCGUGGCAUUUCUCCUUUCUGAGAAGCUGUCCUAUUAUAAGCAAUUACUAUUCCUUCCCUAGCUACGUAUUAUCCUUUUAGUAACCAAUAUGUUAGUUAUGUUUGGGUAUUUCCUCCAAUAAGAGCUAUGGUUGUCCCCUCAAAUUAAAUAAUUACAUUUUCCAGCUAUAAGCUUAAGAGCUCAGUGGAUCCAGCCUACCUGAGUUUAAAUCUUGACUCUAACUCUCAGUAGUUUUGUGAACUUGGGCAAGUUCCUUAACCCUCUUGCAUCCCAGUUUCCUCAUCUGAAAAAUGAGAUCAUAAUUAUUAGGAUCUAACCCAUAGUGCUGUCUGGAGAGCAGGUGAGAUAAUACAUAUAAAAUGCGUAGAAUAGCCGUUAACAUAUAGUGAAUGGUAGCUUUUUUUAUUGCUAUUGUUUGUAUUGUCAUUUUGUUUGUGAUUGACAUUUUCUGAUGUCCUGCCCAGACCAUUUGUGUUGAAAUCACCUUUCCCUCCCGCCCAGUACCUGGUUUGGAUAAAGAACACUAGACUAGUGUUACAGUCUAAAACUCACACAACGUUUCGUCUCCUACUGAAGCUGGACGCUGCCCCAACAUUCAGAAUAGGACGGAGACUUGAGAACGUCUGAAGGAGAUUUACUGCUGUUUAAAAAGGGAGUGGGUAAAUCGUCAUCAGCAAAGGAAACCCUGAGUGUCUCUUCCUGACCUACGGGCAGCAUCCGAAGCAGCAGGGGGAGUUUGUUGUCCGAGGACGCCAGGCAAGGACACACGGCAGACAGCAGACCCCCAGCUGUGCCCAAGCCUCUCUCCUUUUUGAGAUAAUAGCGCUCUGCCAUCCAACGAGAGAGACGUCUGGUUCCCUCAAGAAAGUUGCCAGGAAAAAUUGAUCGGCAAACGAAUAAUGUUUUUCUAAGCCUUGGUACCUGGAAUAUUUCUCUCAUACAGUGUUUGAAAUGAACUUUUUCACUCGGGAACUUGGAUGAGAAUCAGAUGGGGGUGGAUAGACUAGGGGUGAAGACUGUCAGCCUCCGCUUUCCGUCCCAGCCACCCGCCUACCACUGUGUCAUUUCUGCUGUGUCACUUUGGGCAAAUCACUCCCCUUCUCUCAGCAUCGAUUUUACCUGCUGGAAAAAAAAAAAAAAAAAAAAGACUAAUACUGCUUCCUGGGGCUGUUUUGAAAAAUUAAAUGAGAUAAUUUAUCAGUAGAAGGAUGUAAACGUUUAGUGUUUUAACAGUGUCAAUUAUGGGGGUGGGGUUUGUGGCUUUCCUUUCUUCACUGCUUCAGAAGGUGUAGGUCACUUCCUCUCUCCUUUCUUUUGAGAAACAGUGAACCAGUUUUUCUGUAGCUAAUGACUUGGGGUUUGGUUUUACCAGCUGUAAGAUUCAUUGUGAACAGAGAACACAGCCUUGGGAUUGAGGAUGAAGAUGGUGCCGGGGUGUGAGCCUUGGGGGAUGGAGGAUGGAGAGGGAUAAUGGGGACAAGGAUGGUGGGGUUCUGAUGCCCUGGGUGGCAUCCUGGGGAGUUGUUUCUGGGGCUGUGGGACGUGCCAGGUGAGGACAUAGAGGAGACUCCAGGGAGCGCCGUGAUGGGCAUUCUCACCACCAGACCCCCUCGCCUCUGAGCAUGCCUUCCUCUGGGACAUUCGCCAAGUGGGGUUCCAUUUUCAGUGGGAAACGGAUGGCCAGCCAGGCCUGCAGACUGCGCAGCCGUGACUGUGGUUUUCCCUAGUUGUUGAGAAAGCAAUUAUAAACGCAGCUUGUUUUUAAUUAUUUUUGAAGUGGCUACUCAAAAGCAGCUCUCUGAGGUAAAGUAUCACUUAGAUUCUCAUCUAAAUUUCUCUUCAACCAUCGUCCUCAGGGAUUCUCAUCUUGGAUAUAGGCAGACUCCUGCUGGAAAUGACACUUCCUCUGGAGAAUGAUCCUCUUCUGUCUGAGAAGGACAUUUCCUCCGGGAUACACAAGGAGUGUCCAGAGAGGAUGGCAAGAUGGGGCCAUCAGAUCACAUUCACGUUCCCUCUUGUUUUUCCAGUCACUUUCCUCUACAUUCUGUACAUCUUCUCUCCAGCGAAGCCAACACCUAACUUCUAGAAUGAGCUCUGGUUGAUUUUGAGCUCCUACAUUAAUGAUGCGACCCCAGGAAAUUCCUCCAGAUGGGAUCUUCUCCCCAGUCAUUCGCGAGUCAACUUCUACAUUUCUCAUUUUAUAAAACGAAACAGAAAUGAGGUUGUUAAUGUGGUUGUGAAGCCACGGGCCCUGAGUACCCAGUGGAAAACGACCUUGGAAAGAAACUCCUGCAUCGGGGCCAGAAACACUCCUCAGUCAACACUCAUUAAAGCCCUGUUCCCCCAGCACCGAAGGUUUCCCUGCAGCCAGUGUGACUGUGGCUCCACUCCGGGAAGAAAGCUCAGGGGAACACGAGACGUGAAGGUUCCUGCCUGAGACCCCCCCUCUUCUACUGACUUUCCCGCAGACCCCAAAACAUGUGUCAGCCGGAGGCCAGGGGAAUCAUUCUGUCCUCUAAGCGCUGCAUUUGCUUCUGUUUCCCCUGACACUGGGGCUCCUGUCCUGUUUCAGGUGUUGUUAGUGGAAGGGAAAAAAACCACAGCAAAGGGGGAAAUUGUGGAAGAAAAGCUUCAA